ACCUACUUGGUGACAAGUAGCUGAACUGUCAGAAGUCAGCAGAGGUCAUAGUACAAGUAAGUCUAGAAUUACUUGGAAGGA
rnacentral:ncRNA from 1 species